rnacentral:rRNA from 1 species
AGUGAACGCUGGCGGUAGGCCUAACACAUGCAAGUCGAACGGCAGCACAGGAGAGCUUGCUCUCUGGGUGGCGAGUGGCGGACGGGUGAGGAAUACAUCGGAAUCUACUUUUUCGUGGGGGAGAACGUAGGCAAACUUACGCUAAUACCGCAUACCACCUGCGGUUGAAAGCAGGGGACCUUCUGGCCUUCCGCGAUUAAAUGAGCCGAUGUGGGCUUAGCUAGUUGGCGGGGUAAAGGCCCACCAAGGCGACGAUCCGUAGCUGGUCUGAGAGGAUGAUCAGCCACACUGGAACUGAGACACGGUCCAGACUCCUACGGGAGGCAGCAGUGGGGAAUAUUGGACAAUGGGCGCAAGCCUGAUCCAGCCAUACCGCGUGGGUGAAGAAGGCCUUCGGGUUGUAAAGCCCUUUUGUUGGGAAAGAAAUCCAGCUGGCUAAUACCCGGUUGGGGUGACGGUACCCAAAGAAUAAGCACCGGCUAACUUCGUGCCAGCCGCCGCGGUAA